rnacentral:rRNA from 1 species
UACAGAGGGUGCGAGCGUUAAUCGGAAUUACUGGGCGUAAAGCGUGCGCAGGCGGUUUUGUAAGUCUGUCGUGAAAGCCCCGGGCUCAACCUGGGAAUUGCGAUGGAGACUGCAAGGCUUGAAUCUGGCAGAGGGGGGUAGAAUUCCACGUGUAGCAGUGAAAUGCGUAGAGAUGUGGAGGAACACCGAUGGCGAAGGCAGCCCCCUGGGUCAAGAUUGACGCUCAUGCACGAAAGCGUGGGGAGCAAACAGG